AUCUUUGCUUGCAUUUACUGCGGAUACUGGCAGCUCUUCAUCUGUCCAACUGAAUAUUUACUUUUACUCUAUAGAGUGAAUUGGAUUCCGCUCAGUUAAUACUGGCAGAAAGAUAACACACUAUAAAUACGUUAAGUUAUUCCCCAAUCUGGUACGUGAAAAAAGCGGUCAGCGCAAUGCAUUUGAUAGAUACAACAAAAACAGACGGCGGAGCACAAAAUCUGACCUUUGCGAUAAAUUCUGAUUGCAGUUCUUUUUCGGACGGGAUCAACUUUGAUGUUAAGCUUAUUCAGCAUGACUUGAGAAUCGUGUCUGCAAACAACGGUUGUACGAUUUCAGAGACAUGAAAUAUGCUGGUUUAUCAUCACUACCUAACAAGAAAUCACAGUAGUCAGUGGAUUUUGCUCAGUUUGAAAAAAGUCACCAGCUUUCAUGUCCAACUCAAAUUCUUCAGCAAACCAGCGAACUAUCCGUACAAAAUUGUUGGGCUGUAUUGUUUGCUGCAUCAAUAUAUAUGUAUGAUAAGAUUACAGUCUGGUAACGAAUGGUAAUAUAACGAGUUAUCAAUUAUUCAAUUAGUUUAGACAAGAUGGAUUUUCGGUGCUUGACCCUUUUUCACCCACAACGUUUUUCGUUCUUUUCAAUUGCAAAAAAUAUGUUUACCUAUCAGAGAAGUGUUAAAACAAAAGUUGUUUCUUAAGCCUAGGGCGAGGGGCAAGACACUGUCGAAAAUAUAUUACUUUUCCCUAUGGAAAUAUUUUUCCAACCUUAAUAUAUUGACCUUUCCCACCCAUAAUAUAACCGAAAGCCCUAUAAAGUUACAUUUAUUUAUACAUUUAUAGGGUUUUAAUAGAGCCUAAUAUAUUAAUAUUAUGAUAAUAUUAUGAAGUGUCUUGCCCCUCGGCCUAGGGCUAAAACUUCCUAAAAAAACAAAUAUAUUUUGACCGUUUUAAAAGUUUUUGAUUAUUCAGUAGUAGUUGACGGGCAUCAGAGAUUAGUCUGCCUAAAAGUGAAUAAUACUAAUGAGUAUAUAAAAUUACUGAUCGGACUGAUGAAGUUUACUGAUUUAACUUAGUGUGAUAUUAAAUAAAAGAGUGAGUGAGAAAGUAAAAGUGUGAGAAAUUAAAACAACAAAUAAAACAAAUGAACAAAAAUCAAAACCAAAGAAUAAAAAAAAAGAAUAG